AUGAGAACUCAUAUCCGACUUUCCCCUUCGGCAACAAAUAUGUUUUUUGAUCUUCCAUUAGUUCUUUACCAUAUCAAAAAUUCCCUUGGUCGCCAUGGCAUUAGGAGUCGGCUGACCUACGCCGAUAUGGAUGUGGAUCCGGUGAGAACUCAUAUCCGACUUCCCCCUUCGGCAAUAGAUAAGGAUGUGGAUCCGGUGAGAACUCGUAUCCGAUUUUCCCCUUCGGUAACAGAUCUGGAUGUGGAUCCGGUGAGAACUCGUAUCCGACUUUCCCCUUCGGCACCAGCGCGGCGCAUGGAUCAGCGGGAGGGCAGCAGGAAGCGUGCGCGGGGAGAGGAGGAGGAGGGGGACUCGCCGCCAGCGAAGAUGUCGGCUCUGGCGGCGGCGGCGGCGGCUGAUGCGCAGGCGGAAGCGGCAUUCCAUGAGGCGGCGCCGGCGGUGGUGGAGGGCGGGGAUGGGGAUGGGGAUGCGUGGAAGCCGCCGCCGGGGGUGUUCGACUUCCCGUGGCUGAGUUGCCACGGCGGCCUGGACGCCCCCGUCACCAGCCCCCUGGUGGAGCUCCGGGAGGUGUUCUUCCGUUCGGCUGUGGACGGGCACGUGGCGGCGGUGGGCGUGCCCGGCGACCGCUUCAUCGCGCCGCCGAGCAACAUGAUGCUGUUCGUCGUCCUGGAGGAGUGGGUCGUCACCGCCGGCGACGACGAGGUGGACCCCAUGUGGCGCGCCGUGCUCGAGGGGGCCAAUCCCGCCGCAUGA
rnacentral:rRNA from 1 species